AUGUGUGCUGCACUGCGCGAGACGAGGAGGGAGGGCAUCGGAACUCGACAAAGUCUCACCUCCCACCCUGAUAUUUUGAUCUUUUUUUAUUCAGUAAAUAUAUUUGUUUGACAGGGAAGCUGUGCGCAAACAGGAAUAAAUUUAUUUUAUAUAUAUUUUGUAACAGAUUUGGCUGAAACAACUUCCGGAAGAAAAUGGGGGGAGCAGAAAGUUCAGUUGAGACAGAGGGAGAACUGGAAAGAAGAGCGGUGGAACUGGACAAAAGGGAGGUGGCACUGGAUAAAAAGGAGCUGGAACUGGAAAAAAGGGCAGUGGAAGAGAUGAGGGCUGAAGCAAUGAAUCCUGUGCAACACAUCCAAGAAUCAGAGACGCCUAAAGAUCGCGGUGGCUGCUUCAUUAAAAUGGACCAAGCUAACAUCAACUGUAACGACUGUCAGGUUUGCGGUCCAGUUUCCGGUUCCCCUCUAGAAUCCGCUGAUCUUGGACAAUUCUGUUGCUGCUGACCAUUUGGACUGUUACUGGUGCUGGAGUUUGAAUGUGAACACCUGCCUGAUUCUGAUCAUGAGUUGGGAUUUCCCUGUUGGCUCUGUUUGCCCCUCGCCUGACCAUCCUGUCUGUCUGACAUUGAUUCUCAUCUCACGAUUCAGAUUUGAUUGCCUGCCUGCCUGCAUGACCAUUCUCCUCUCUACUGUUCAGGACUGAUUUAGAGCUGUGCUGCUCUUCAUCAAUUCACAUCAAGUUACAGUACAAUGUGAAAUUGUAACUGAACAUAAGAGGGUGCUAAAAGGGUGGCACCACAACUUUAAGAGUGGUGGAGCAAAAUUUUAUGAUUUUGGGGUGUAUAGUGGGGAUUAUUAUUUUGUGAUUCUUAACGCUUUACAACAAAGUCACCUCAAACGACAAAAAACUCCUGUACGCUAAUUACAAAACAAAGUUCCUCAGGGCUUUUAAUCCAAAGGGUUAAAACUCUAUGUUUCUUUAUAGAGAAUUUAUUUUUACCCAAAACGGGGUGAUGUGAGCAUAAUGGAGCGCUAAAAACUCUCAUGUAGUAUGUGUUUCAUUCAUACAGGUAGCCGGAGGCGCCCUCACACAAGAAAGUCCAAGACUCAGAAAUAAUAAUACUUUGUGAGAUUACAAGAAAUCCAUUAUAUGGAUAAAGGCAUCCAGCUUUCACAGCUCAAUAUAAAGCAGAUAGAAUCGUUUUGACUGAUGAAACAACAGGAAAUAAACACAUGAUUUUGACAAUGUAUGGUUUAUGUGCUUUUCAAGCCAUCUGGGGUAUUUUCAUAAGAAUCUUAAUUUUUAAUGUUAUAUUUAUAAAGCAAUGCUAAUCGACAUAGCCUAUCACAGUAUAGAACACUAUAAAAUAAUAAUGUUCUCUAAUUUCUUGCUCCAUCCAUGCAAUAAAUGCACAUCUAGUUAGCCAUACUGACACACAAUUAAGCGGCAAAGUGCUGUUCAGCCCUUUAUUGCGUGUGCUGGGCACUGCCCCACUAGUUUGAAAAGUGCCAGGUCAAAAGCCAGCUCGCCCCCCGUUGCUCCGGCAGCCCCAAAACACAUUUUACAGUACUGAAAUGUAUCAUCUUUUGUAAUCACACAAUUCAUUUUUCAACCACGGAAUAACAAAAACUGCUUGACACCAAAUGUUACAAUUACAUUAGGUAAGAUAUCCAUUUGCAAUAGCAUGUUAACUGACUAGAAAAAAAUGAAUUUGAGAGAGGAGUACUAUAUAGCUUAAUGUUGAGUGCAUUAUUGAAUAUAUAGGCCUACAAUAUAUUAUAUGGAUGCAUUUUUACUUAACCAUUGAUGGCUUAUUUUGAUUUAAUGCUGUCAGCUUCAGUCUAGCAAGAUGUUCCACUCAAUGUGUAGCUAAACAUUGACUAUUGGCAGUGGCCUGCAUCCACCAGAUCACGAAGGGAGCAUGCAUUACUUCAGGAACUACAGUGGACUUCAUAUAGCAUGAAUUGCUGCCAACACUCAACUGGACAACAGCCAAAAAUCUGUCAUCACCAACACCUAAAGCAUAGCAAGUUAGACUGCAAACCUCUAUGAUCACUGCCAUAUUGAUUUUUGCCUGCCUCAUAAAUCAAUAUGGCAAUAUCCUUACAGAUACUUAAGGGGAUAGUUCACCAAAAAAUGAAAAUUCUGUCAUCAUUUACUCACCCUCAUGUUGUUCCAAACCUGUACAAGUUUCUUCUGUUGAACACAAAAGAAGAUAUUUUUGAAGAAUGUUGGUAACCAGACAGUUGCCAUUGACUUCAUUUUUCAUUACUUCUAACAAAGAACGGUCUCUGCUUCUAAUAAACCAGACGACUACUACUACUACUA